UCAGGAUGGACGAGUGAUCUAAGGUGCUGCGUUCAGGUUGCAGUCUCCCCUGGAGGUGUGGGUUCGAAUCCCACUCCUGACA
rnacentral:tRNA from 1 species